GACGAACGCUGGCGGCGGGCUUAACACAUGCAAGUCGAACGGAAAGGCCCUGCUUUUGUGGGGUGCUCGAGUGGCGAACGGGUGAGUAACACGUGAGUAACCUGCCCUUGACUGUGGGAUAACUUCAGGAAACUGGGGCUAAUACCGGAUAGGAGCUCCUGCUGCAUGGGGGGGGUUGGAAAGUUUCGGCGGUUGGGGAUGGACUUGCGGCUUAUCAGCUUGUUGGUGGGGUAGUGGCUUACCAAGGCUUUGACGGGUAGCCGGCCUGGGAGGGUGACCGGCCACCUUGCGACUGCGAUACGGCCCAGACUCCUACGGGGGGCAGCAGUCGGGAAUCUUGCACAAUGGGCGGACGCCUGAUGCAGCAACGCCGCGUGCGUGAUGACGGCCUUCGGGUUGUAAACCGCUUUCGCCUGUGACGAAGCGUGAGUGACGGUACUGGGUAAAGAAGCACCGGCUAACUACGUG
rnacentral:rRNA from 1 species